rnacentral:ncRNA from 1 species
UUUUCGGCGACGAAAGGGUCUGAAGGAAGCUGAUGGCGGCUGUUGGAACGUAACGCAAGUGAACCAGUGUUGGCGUAUGUAGUGGACAACUCUCCACGAAAUGGGGACAUCCUAAAAUUAGCUUAGCUACAUGCGUUAUGAUGGACGUUUUAACAACAGGCAGAGCAACUU